UGUGAGUUUUCUAUAGAAGGGCAUUGAGUUGGAGCACACUGAUGCUGCACUUAAAUGUUCUAUGCACUCAGUCAACUAUGCAACUUUCCUUUUUAUAAAGUUGGUGGACUGAGUGAAGCAACAGAUAGGCACAAGAAGAAGAGGUGCAAUACCUUUCAUUUGAUAGUGGUUUAACUUUUUUCCUCGUGAGGCAUGGGAACUUAGAACCUCUAAAUUAAAUGUGGUCGUUUAUGCUUUUGCAACACCUCUCUAAUUUCCUAUCAUGCUAAAAAAAUGCUAUCUGCCAAAACAGUUAAUAUUCUUCCUGAAGGCAAUCUAAUACGAAAGCUGAUACACAUUGGAAGUAGUAGUCUGAAGGAAUCAAAAGUUACUAUUGGGCAAGAAAAGGUAGCCAGCGAUUUACAAAGGUUCUUGGCAUGCCUGAAAUUUAUGCGGCUACCAAAAGUAUAAAGAACAAUAUAAGCUGCUAGGAAUUAGUGGCGGCAAUUUUUCUCCUUUUAUAGAUGGUGUGUCUUGUUCUUCGUUUCUAGGUUCCUAGGAUGUUAUAUGAGCUAUUUUGUCCCUUGUAGCAUGUCUCCCUCAAAGCCGCUGCUCCCUGAAUUGAUGAGAAUUUUUAAACCAUCAUGUUGCACGCAAUCAUAUUGUUACUUUAAUCUAUCAGUGUUCCAUGGAAAUCAAAAUCAGCAGUCUUAUGUACAGGAGAAGGAACCUAUCACCCUAGGCAAGCUGGGUAAAAUAUAAUCUUCUUGUGCUAUUCUCUGUGUUGUUUCCAAUGAUAAUGGUUCAGCUUGACAAACUAUAUUUGUUACUAGAAAUGAUUAUUACCUACAACAUUGGUCUGCAUUAGCUGAAAUUUAUUCGUGCCAGUGAAAGGGUGAUUUUUUUUGGUUGACUUAGCUUUUGUGAACUCCUUUUUAUUUCUUACAUUUCUAGGUGAAUAUGAUGGAAAUGCUUUAGAGAUAGGUAGCCAAUGCAAACUGGAGUAUGAUGGCGCCUAGCUAGAACACCCAAGCACAUUUCAUCAACAUCAGUGUACGUUUGAUGAACUUAUAUGCUCAAGACCAUAUAAGCAUAUCCAUAUGAGACUGAGUCUGAACUCACAGAAGCUUAGCAACUCUCCUUCUAUGCUUAGCAAGUCGCAUAUUAUUACAUUGAAGCGGGUACUACCUUCUGUUGCUCUGGGUUUUUUAAAAUAUUUGCAAUGAUACUUCCCUCUUUUAUGAUUCAUUCAUCCAUUUUGAUCCAGUGAUUAGGUUUUAAGUUGCGUGAUGUGGUUGAUG